rnacentral:rRNA from 1 species
GUGCCAGGCCGCCGCGGUAAUACCGGCAGCCCGAGUGAUGGCCGAUCUUAUUGGGCCUAAAGCGUCCGUAGCUGGGUCUGAAAGUCCAUCGGGAAAUACACUCGCUCAACGAGUGGCCGUCCGGUGGAAACUCCACACCUUGGGACCGGAAGGCUCGAAGGGUACGUCCGGGGUAGGAGUGAAAUCCUGUAAUCCCGUCCGGACCACCUAUGGCGAAAGCAUUUCGGGAAAACGGAUCCGACAGUGAGGGACGAAAGCUAAGAUCGCGAACCGGAUUAGAAACCCUUGUAGUCC